rnacentral:tRNA from 2 species
GGGACAGUAGCUCAGAGGUAGAGCAAUGGCGCACGCCAUCGGCCGCCGGUUCGAUUCCGGCUUGUCCACCA